AUGCCGCUCGGAACCCCAGCCUUGGGUCCCUCCUCCUUACGACGUAAACCUCCUCGGGCCUCGGUGCACCUGCUGCUCAGCUGUUCAGCGCCACUGAGCUCUCGCAGGUGGCAUCGGGGUCUGACUGGGCCUAGGACCUGGAGCAGGACGGGCCCCCUGGUGCGGGGAUCUGAGGGCGGGAGGGGGUGGGAGGGGGAAGUAAGGGGUGGGGUGGGGAGCAGCCCAGGCCACCCAUCCCAGCCUUGCCCUGUGCCAAGGCUGACGGCCUCUGUGCCUUCAUGGGGGAGCCCGGGACCCCACGGUGUGACCUGGGCAUCCUCCGUGCCCCUGCAGCACGCACAGGUGUGCACAGAGAUGCACACACGUGCACGCACACGCAUCAAGCAGCCGCACAGGUGCCCACAGCCGGGCAGCCUCCCAGGACAGGCUCCAGCCCUUCCCUCCUGUGGCUUCCUGGACUCCAUGGCUGAGGGUUGCCGGCAGGCAGCCUGCUUGUGCCGCGUCACGGUCCCAGGGAGACAAGGCCUCGCCACCUUGCACGACCCCCCAGCUGUGCUCCGUCCAGGGCGAUGGACUGGGCUGCUGGCCGCGGGGGGGCACAGCUGUUCACACACGCGCUGGGAAGCAGGUCGGCCCCUGCGGGGGGCAAACACACUGCGAUGUUGCAGCGCGUGCUGGGGCCCCCCUGCCUCGCCCGCAGGACCCCGUGCCCUCCGCCCAGCCCCACAUGCUGACGGGUGCGGCCGGCCCGGAGGUGCAGGGAACACAAACCGGGCAUCUGGAAGAGACUCAGGAGAGCGAAGAAUGGGACCAACCAGGAGGAAUGGCCCGCAGACCCCAGCUCCCGCCGGGAGGUGCCCCCUGAAGGGGGCGGGCGACUCGGCCGGACUGCGCAGGGCGGGUGGCAGGGCUGGCCUUGGGCACAGGAGCCACGGCCUGGUGGCCCUGCAUACACGCUCUGCAGCCUCGUCCCACCGGCCUGGCUGUGGCCCCAUUAGCCCUGCUGGCCACGUGCUGGGUCCUUCCUGGCCGGGCGCCCUCCCACCACUCCUCUCACCCACGUCCUCCCUCCGUUCUUGGUGCCGGGCCGUCGAGGCCACCGCAGGGACGUCUCCCAGGGCGGCAGGGUUCCCUCGGAUGGCCCAGGCCCCGGGGCUGCACUGCCCCCUCCCCGGGCCCCAGCCACUGCGGCUUUCUGAGCAGUCUUCCCGCCAGGGCCCGGGUGGGGGAGCAGCCUGGCGCUGA
rnacentral:lncRNA from 12 species